rnacentral:lncRNA from 1 species
UUCAAUCAAUCUCAUAGGGAACAAAGAAGAACCGCAUAGAAGUAUGGAACCUUCCGGGUUAAGCGAUCGAAAUGACCUAACCUGGCUCCAUCUGGAAGGGCCCUCGGUAAUCUAUGUCGUCUUUGGAACUAAUAACAGAAUGGAAGGGUUCCCCCCGAAAACAACGUUAGACUUGUGCAUGUGUUAAGGAUAUAGCUUAAGUAGAUAGACUCAUUGCUUUUCUCAAUUGAUUUCUUAAGUGAAAAGAGAAAGAAGCAAAUCUCAUCUUUAGUUGUGUUACUUAAACUAGGGCAGCACUGGCCUUCUAUAUCGUCCUUCAUACUAUAAAAAGAUCAGUCUCACUAAUCGGCCUAAGGCUUAUUCAGUCUCACUAAUCGGCCUAAGGCUUCUAGAGACAAUUCCUGGCUCGACAAACUAAAGGCUGUUUCCGUUUUGAGCCUAUUCCAUUUCGAUUCUGAAAUAAAGGUGCUGAAAGCCACUAAGCAAUUCGAACUUCCUGGCUAACACGAAGAAUGGAAGAAGACCCGAAGCGGAUAGUAGAAACUCUUUGUUUGAGUUAAGCAUAAAUAAGUACAGAGGCUACGAGAAAGAUCUUAAGGCGAUCUCGCAUUGCUGCCUCACAACGUUAACAAACUCCAUCCAGGGAUUUCGAAAGAACAGUCCUUUGGCCCAGAAGGAAGACAAAAACGAGACAGAGAAAACGAGGAACCAGAAUGCAUAAAGUAAAUACGGACUCGGGCAUGACCCUCUAUAGAGUUUGAUAUAAGGGAGCAAGCCCCUCUGCAUAAGGAAGGAGAGAGAACCAGACAUGCACAACAAGUGCUAAGCCAAAGAACUAGGACUACACGAGUAGAUCGUAAUCCGAGGCUUAUCGGUUAGAAUGAGUGGAUGCACUCCAUUGGGAUCGUUGUAAUGGCAUCCCUUUGGAUUUAGAUAGUUCAGGUUGAAGUGGAUUUGAUUUAGCUGGUUUCAUUUAUGUACAAAGGAUAUCUGGAAGGAAGAUGGUAAACGGAAGAGCUGGGUCCCAAAGCAAAUGCAUUCCCAUCUGGGCAAUAGCCAAGAAAGAAAGGGCAGGUUCCGUUUUUAGGCAGGGAGUAGCCUGGUCAAUUUAUGGUCCUUUAUCCGACUCCGGUCUAGCAUAAAGAGUGGAAUGAAUCGGGUUUGCUCUCUUCACCUAGAUACUCUAUUAAUAAGGUUAGAAAGAAAACUGGUAAUAUUAAUAAGGUUAGAAAACAGAUAAUAAGGAUAAGGUUAGAAAACUGGUAAUAAGGAGGAAAACUGGUAAUAAGGAGGGUUAUCUCUCAGGAACAUUUAUACUGGGUUAUACUUUGAACGGGCGGGCUGCCUGCCUCAUUUACGUCCCCGUUGGUGACAACGAGGAUAGAAAGCAGAUGGAAAAAGCAUUCCAUUUCCUAAGAAUUUGACAAUGAACAGCCAUCCUAUUUAGAAUUAGACAAACAGACUCUUUCGAAUUAGACAAACAGACUAUACUAUUUCAUAUUUCAUAAACGAUGUCACUUUGAAUCAAUAGAGAACUUCUUUAUUUAGCCGAGUCCUAGGAUGACGGAAAACAAAGUGGAAUCGAGCGCUACUGCUUCAUUGAUUUUGGUUGCUGAGACUAGAUCUUCCAAGUGUUAGUGCCUCAGCCCGCUAUCGCUUCAUCUUUUGAUGUAUCGUAAAUGCCUGAUGUAGAUGGUAUCACUUAUUCUGCCUCGGUCGGGUGCUGCCUUAGGUUGAUGUGAAAGAAUAUCCCUUGCUUCCUACUUAUUUACUAUCUAUCGGAGAGUUGGACCCCUUGGUCUCAGUCUCCUAUAGUGAGUAGGAGUAAAGAGGAGCGAGUUGACGAGCUGGCGGACUCACGUUCAGACUUGAAGAUCCAGCCCGAAAUGCCAAUCUUGAGUUCUCGGUCAAUAGAGCUAAAGCGUGACUUCUCAGGAACGACAAAGUAUCAAAGGGGCAUUCAUCUACUUACCCUCAUUCAUCUACUUUUGAAAUGGACAGAACAAAUCGGAAAAGGCAAGCUUACCGUAUUCCUACUUGACUAGUUGUACUAUUCUGGUUUUGGAACAUACCCUUUCUAACAUAUAACACAAGGUGGAAUCAAAGUAAAGAAACUAUUAGCAAGGAGUGAAGUAAAGGCGUAAAGAAACUAUUAGUUAGGAGUGAAAUAAAGGCGUCGGUUGCCUUCCGCUGACUAUGGAAUCCCCAGAGACUAUAUCCAUCAAUAAAAAACCUACCAUUGAAUCAACAGGUAUGGAAUCAGUAUCAGGCUCUUAGCACCCGAACACAGGACAAAGAAGGAUCUUCCGCAGGAGAAGUUCCAGUUCCAUAAAUUUCUAGUAAAGCGGGAAAGCCUUUCAUUCCUAGCAAAUAAGCCUUUCACUGGUGUUGGCUUAGAAGCGGGAAGUAAAGAAUUGUUGACAGUUGAAAGAUAGGAUAGGAUAGGAUACUGAAGUCGAAGCUGUUGAAAGAGUCGAACCAUAAAUAUGUUAGUAACAAAUGCAUUUCAAACUGUGCCGUUAAGAAAGAAGAAUGAGUUCUCUGACUCCGAGCCUUACUAUUAAGCUUGAAACUAUUGAAUUGACGACCGCCCAAUGCUUGCUUCUAAGACAAGACUGUUUUAAGGAGUGGAAGCGAGAAAGCAAUCAGGGUUGCCCGCCUCGCCUUGUACUAAAAAGAAGGGUUUAGAGCUUGCUUGUAGUUAAGGGCUAUGAAAGAAGGGUUCCUUACUCUACAUAAUAGUGGAUUGUAGGUCAUAACAGUGUCCUUUAUUCGUCACCGGCGGCAGCAAGCAAUAGUAGCAAGUCCUGUCUGUUUUCGUUUCUCUUCUCGAUGCUUUAUCUUCGACUCCGGUAUUGUAUAUUAGUAAUAUAAUAAGUAGCUUGCAGCAGGGCUUGUUUCAAUAAGUAUUUGUUUAGAGAUAUUCCAUUACUGUUUUCCUACUUUCACACUGUUUGUCAGCUUGUCUAGUGGGUGCGGCGUGACUUCUAUAUAAGUAAAGUAUCCACAAGUCUUCUACAUAAGUAAAGUAUCCACAAGUGCUUUGUUCAUGGCUAAAGCAACUGAGUAACCGGUCCGGGUCAAUAAGUUCCAGGUCAAAGUGCCAAUGGAAUCCCUUUCAUAAUCAGUAUCUGUCUUUGCGCCAAUUGCAAAAGGAAGUAGGAAAUAAAGAAGCAUUUGUUGCCAGAGGAGAACACACAUAGGUUUCUUGUCAAGUCUGUAUCUCUUCUCUUCUUUCCAGUCAAUACUAGAGCAUCUAAUCUACCUAUGGCUAUCUAAUCUACCUAUGGCUACACCACUUUAAGGAUCCUAUCCUAGACAACAUUAUACUUAACGAGCAGUUGUUUUGGAGCGACUAGAUCGAGCCUUGUAAGAUAUUCUGCUGUUGGAAUCUUUUUCCCAAAGGCUGUAACAAUAAUACACCUAUACAUGCCAACAUUCUAUCCGAGCCCCUACAAUCUAUCCGAGGAGCAAUACAAUAAAGGGAGCCAUUGAAAGGUGACGAUAUCAUUGCCAGUGAGAGUUUUUAAGUAAAGACCCAGACUUGGUGGCAUCAGGGCUAGCUUCAAUUCCAUACUUGGUGGCAUCAGGGCUAGCUUCAAUUCCAUUAUUUGGAUUAUUUCUUUCCCGAGAAGAAACCGGGUAGUUAAGGUUCUUUUGCAUCCAGCCAAGCAACCACUAACAUUGCUAUCAGCCAAGCAACUCAAAUACAUAAAAAGUAAUAAGGUUGCGAAGCAAAUAACUUAUUUUGUUGUUGUUAUUACAAUUCCUGUGUUCGGCAGACAAGCAGACAAGCCGAUCUAGGCGCUAAAGAAAGUUGGGCUAAACAAGCAGACAAGCGUAUACUAAUGGAUUGAUUAGUUCAACAAAGGGUGCCUCUAUUCAAUACUACUAGUUGGGGCAAUAAUCUCUUUGCUAUCAAAAAACGACUUCCAGCUCGGCUGAGGACCAACUUCGGGAGAGCAGAGAAGACCCAACACGAAAGGUAGCCACUGAUAAUCGAAGCUAUUCAGAUGGGUCCAUUUGAUAGAAGACUCGAGACCCUGUUCCGACUUUAGCUGCUUAAAGAACUUUCAAGGAAAAAAGACGAAUUCAAGGAAAGAAAAACGAUCAUCCCUGAAGCGAGGGACCACUGAAGGAGAGCGAGUGGUGUGUAUAUGACCCGCAUGUAAUUUACCAUUGAAGUAGAUACGCUCAUGUGAGAGAUACCUAGAAGGCUCCACGAUGCGAGAAACAACCACGGGAAUCUUAAGUUAAUCAUAUAUUUGAAUAAAGCCAGAAUCACCCAAGGAAAGAUUACCUUCCAAUAGUAAACCAGCUUCAGAAUCCUGCUCGGGGCGACUGGCCGACUUCAAUCUUAUUAUAUCAUUAUAUAUGUCAGAAGAUAGUCCGGUAGGGAAGAGGCGGAGCUCGCCUUUCAAUUCAUUAUAUUGUAAAGAAAUUGAUUUGGAAUUCCGCCAAUCAACAUCCUUCUGCAGCAAGCGUCUAUGGAUGCAACCCCAGAGGGUAGGGUGGAAAUCAACCGAUCCGCUCUAAGGUGGGGGAUGCGGCUCUUGAAACGCAAACGCAUGAUUCUUUCAUUGAAAGGUCCUUGCUCACGUAAACUACGGACAGGUGAGUUGGUUAUCAUUAUUACAGGGACGUUAUUCUUCUUAGUCAACUUUAGCCCAUACUUACUGUCCAACCGACACUGUUGCCCAUCGAGGACUCGAAGGAGGGUGUUAUUCGAAGAAGCCAGUAGCGCCUGACCAGCAGCAGAGAGAUAGCUAAAAAAGCGAUCAUAUAAACAGCUCUCUCGCUCUUUGACUUGGCGGAGGUCUUCGUAGAUAGAUUGGAGGUUAUUAUGCGAUGUAAACACUCGUUUGAUGAGGUCAGCAUCGGUAUAGAUCUGCUCCCAUGAGUCGAGGCUUUUUAGCUUCUCAAUGAGGUGCUGAUGUUGAGUAGGCAUCUUCUUAUGCUGUUGAUGAGCCUUUAGGGAUUCAUUCAGGGUAGAAAGAGUAUGGUGGCCCCACGUAUAAGGGCAGCGGUUGCUCUACCUCAUAACUCUCAAACACUGGAGUAGUACUGGCCGAGUAGACAGAAGAAGGAACAAAGACAGGACAAAGAAUUCAUUACUACCCUGAUUUACCGACAAGGCCUUAGCAACUAGGCUUCUUAACCGCGCCUGUAUAGGUAUUUCUACUUAGCUACAUUGCCUGAGCUACUAAUAAGCAUCUAGUUAUAGACUUAGCAACAUGGCUUCCAAGACUAUAUACUUAGCUACUCCACUCAAUAUUCAUAUAACUCCUUAGCAAAAGGCCCCUAUAGGCUUCAAAUGCAAUUGAAAGCGAAUUCCUAGGUGGAACACUAGACUCGUUAUAUAAGUAAGGGUUAGUGGUGACUUGCCCGACCUCUGUUUCUCGCCCUCUUGCCUCUGCCCUUAUAAUUAAUGGUAGACGCUAUUCGCCCAGCUUCUGUAUCAAAUACAUAACUCUUUAACUCCGAUGUCUAUUACAUCCCCUGGUAGCUAGGUAAACGAAUUCCUCUUUCUUACUCUGGCUCCUAAGUCUUCCAAUUCCAUUCUGAAGGAGUUAACCUAAUUAAUAGCUAAAGUCAAAGCCAAGGCGCGGUAGCGAGCUAUAGAAGCGGCAGGAGCUUUAUUCGUUUUUGCCCCUACAGAGAGGGACAUCCCUUACUUUGACCUUAAGAAUGGAAUGGAAUGGAAACUGAUUAACCAAGAACUGAAAGAGACUCCGCUCAAGCAUCCGAUCUAUUAACCAAGAACUGAAGGAGACUCCGCUCAAGCAUCCGAUCUAUUAACUCUGGCUCGUGGACCUAUGGCUACCAAUAAUGAAUUGAACUCGGCCCUUACUUAUAUUACUGUCUGCGAGUUGAUAGUGGAUUUCUUUGUCUAGGAAGCAGGCAAGAGAGACCGGCAUACGACCAAGCAAGUACGAUUUGCCAUCAAACUCAAGAAGAAAACCGGCAUCCAAGGUAAGAAACUGAGGAAUUAACCAUAGCUGAUCUAGCCCUAAGAAUUGACCCACUACUGAGAACACUGCCAAUAAGCCUGCUCCCUACUGCCUCCUAAUUUCGUUCCUUAGUUCAUGGCGGUAGCGAGUUCAACUUUGCUUUAAACCUAAGACUCAAGUUUCUCCUUCUUUAGCUCAACUAAUCUUUAUUACUUUACUGCUUAUCUGCCUAUAAUUUCUCUAUUACAUUACCAACAAUUCUAUUACUCGAUUACUUAUACUCAAAAUAAAGACUUGCUUCACUGCGCCUAAAGCAGCCUUUCCUUAAACAAAUCCUAUGUUCGCCUACGAGACCAACACUCCUUGAUCUAAAUCUGACUUCGCCGGCUAUUAACUUGUCCUUCUCCCCGAGACCUACUACCCAAACGGAUAAUACCAACUAGCAAACUAAAGACAGGAAUAUGGAAUCCAACUCGUGCCUACAAGAAUAGAAACUGCGCCUCUAAUACUUUCUCCUAUAAUAAGGAACAGAAACCCAGGCUAACAAUAAUGGAACUAGAGACGGGUGAUCUAACAAGUCACUCUAGUUCUCUCGGGUAGGAACGUAAGAGCACUGGGUUAGUGACUCACAAGUAAGAAUGCCCGUACAGGGUCAAAGACUCAACAAAGUAAUUAGUCCGGGUGAGUUGAGCCUGUAGUUUUAGAGUUGCAUCCCCAACUAGUAGCAGAGUAGUUGCAUCUGUCUUUGUUUACAGAGGAGUGGUAUAGUAGCCGAAUUCAGCAAGUCAUAACUCUGUUAAUAGGAGCCGAGCCCCGGUCACUAAUGAGUUAAAAGAGCCAGAGCCAUAGGUAUAAGGAUAUCUGAGUUUAGGUAAGUCCAGUAGUAGUAGCAAAGUAGACUUGUCUGCUUGUCCCCUUGACACAGUACAGACACAGUAGAAGAACAUUCCAACUCUCAAGUAGGAAAGGCAGAAUUCCAUUAGUAUGUAGAAGAAUGGAACUCAGUCCACAAAGAAUAAAACAGGAGCAGAGCCAGUAGUUGUAGUCCCGGGUUCUUAGCCUUUGUAGUAACAGUUGCCCAGUUCUUGCCUUUGUUUGUAGUAGUGGCUUGGUCAUUAGCAGUUCCUUGGUGGACUUGGUUAUAAGCAUAAGUAUGGGAGAUGAGCCUCAUUCAGUUACAUAGUUGCUUGUUUACUUUUGUGUUUACUUGUUUGUUUGUUCCAUUGCUUGUUCUAUAUAAUAGCAUCUAUAUAAUAGCAUCUAGUUCCAUUGCUUGUUCUCUAUAAUAGCAUCUAAUAGAUGAACAUAACAUCCUACUGCUUACAGCAAAGACUAUCCUUUCAGUUAACCUAACAGCGCUGAAGAAGUAAGGCCAUUUCUCGAAGUAAGGCUUGAACGCCCGGCAAGCAGACAAGUAACUAGAAGUCAACAAAUACAGAAUUCCAUUUCCAAGUCAAGCUCUAUUUAACUCCCUUAGUUCAUGAGACAGCAAAAUGUUGUAAAUAGCGGCCUUUUAGGAAGGCACUUGGAUUGGCACUAAUCAGGUUCGGAAGCACAAGUUGUAGCCGACUAGUAAGCAUAUUUUGCCAUUUCUUUUGUAAACAGUGUUGCCGCAGCACCUGAACAUAUCGAAGUAAGAAGUCACUUCAGUAAUGAAUCUCCUUCAGCAGGAAAUAAGGAUGGGAGAUAGGUUACUAAGAAAGGAAACCAAUUCACAAGUUGACCUUUGAAGCAGGGGGACCGAGUGACAGACUUGGCUUUUCCAGAAUACACUACAAAUAUGGUUGAGCAUAAGGCGUUUUCAUCAAGGUAGGGUUAGGGUAGACCCAGGGUCCGUUUAGAAGCGAUACAGAGAGAAAGAACCAUAGCCAGAAGUCUCGAAGGGUACAGGGCAAAGUCAGAAAUCCACCUAUGAAACUAAUCCACUUGCCUUAUAAUUAAUUUGAUCCUAACAUCUUUAUGGUCGAAAGGAAAGAUGCUAUUGGGUAUCCUCCAACUUCCAUAGACGAAACACACUUAGAUAAAGCUUCUCUUGAUCACACACAUCUUGGUUUAGACUUAUACUGGGCGAACCUAUCUCUACAACAACACAGUCAACCGUACUCUACCUGCUUGCUACAGGCAAUUCAACCGCGACACGAUAACCUCUCUCCCACUUAGUAAAACCAAUCACCGAGACUUAACUCGCAACCCGCAGGCGCUUAAGAAUCCAGUCCCAGAAUUGAGCUAGAUCCGAUCAGACUUAACCCAGUGCCCCUAAGAACCAAACCAGCAACAACCAGGCUGAAACACCCAGCUACAAGACUCAAACUAGGGCUACUCAGGCCUCAACUCAGUAGUGACAGGCUCUCCGGCAGGGUAUCGAUUCCAAGUACUGAUAGAGAGUUACAGGCUAAGACAACAGCUACUCGGACUUAAACCGGCGCUAGCAAGCCUUAUACUGGUGCCACUUAGAAUCAAACUCGGUAGUUUCAGAAUGAAGUCAAGAAUCCAAACUAAGUAGUGACAGGCUUCAACCCAAAAGUGACAGGCUAUCUUCGACCCCCCGAGUCACGGAAUUGAACUAAGCAGGUUAACUCGCUACCUACUGGCAAAGAAUUCCAGUACUACUGAUUCUAACUGAUGAAACUACGAGCCAUCAAUUGCCAAGUCCAGUGUUCGCCUUUCCUACUUGCCUACUUCCACUCAUGAACGGAUUCAACUCGUUCGUCCACUCUACUCUAACAAGACCAGGAGCUGGAUACUUGCUUUAAGGCUUAGACAAACUCCUUAAGCUAGUCAAUUGAAUGAAACAAGUAAGUCCACCACCCUACCUGGCGUACCACACCACACUGGUUAAGAUCGUUUGCCAACUCCUAUAUAGGAUGAAACAAUAGAAGCCGGUAACUACCCCAGUGCUCCUUCCUUAAUGAAUGCCUACUAUAGCUCAUCUCAUAUCACACGCUUACCGAACAUCCAGCCCACUACUACCAACAACUACAAAGGCACAGAACUGAGCCCUCUCGUAGACAACAAAGACAGCCAGAUGCCCUUUCCAAAUAGAUCUUGCUUCUAAGCAGCUCAUCUCGCAAACAGGGAAUCCAUCUCUACCUUACCCGGACAGCUAUGUAUAAGAAAUCAAUAUCAAUUCAUUCUCUCUUUAGAAAGGAUAGAGGCCAAGCAACCUUUCUUUCCUUCCCUAUACACCCCUUUAGCCAACAAAGACAGAUGAUACUUCCACUCGGUAUCGGUAUUCCACAACAACAAAGAACAGGCAAUUCUAUACUAUACGGGGCUGUAAACAUAGUCAACAAUUCUGCAUUUCAUCUUUCUUGCGCUGAAGGAACUGCACCCGCACUGCUAACUGAAUGAGAACUCCCCUUCAACUAAUUCUUCUUGAUUACCUCUACUCCCAGGUAUUCCAAUAAUAAUAACUGACCUAGCUCACACCUAGCUUCAAAGCAAGUACUUUAUUCAUUUACAACCUUAACUCUCACUGAGUCGGAUUCUGCUCUUGAUACUAAGGAAUUGGAACUGGCAAUACUUAACGCCUCAGUAAACUCUUCAAAUACAGAUCUUGUAACUGCUCUUGCAACUGAACAAGCUACCACUAGACAAGACACUAGGCAAGUAGAACAAAAGUGCUAUACUAUUUCUCUAUUUGCUAUGAGCCAAGUCACUCACUACACCGGCUAUCUAUCCUGAGUUGUUGAAUGAUUUGUUUACAAGGCUAACAGGGAAGUCGAAGAAUUAAGAUCCACUGCUGAGGCUGCAGGCGCAAGUGAAAGAUUCAAUUAGACUGUUUCUGGUCAGGGAAGGGGCCAAUCAACAUAGUUAGUUGCGCUAAGGAGCUUCGGACUUGAGAGGUUGCCAGCCAGAUCAGAGCACUUCUUGUUGGCAAAGGUGAACCUGCUACUUAAGAAGCGGUUGAAAGAUCUGACUACUUAGUUUCAAGAGAAAGAGAGGGAUGAGAUCGAGGUCUUAGAUAGAAGCUCUCCGCCGGUAAAGAAAGUCUCAAGGUGUUCUAAACUCUAUUCAAUGAUUUGAUUCACUUAAAAAGAGAGCUUUAAAGGAGAGUGAGUUUCGGGUGUGAGUGAAAAGUGGACAGUUCCGGUUUCAUCAGUAUUUGUAGCAAUAGAUAUGAGAGGCACUAGCUCCAUUAUUACUGCUUAUCCCUUUGCUUUAGAAGCACUAGUCAAAACAAGGUCCGAGAAGCACUGGUUUCAUUCUGACUUGAACUACUGAGUUGCCGGCUCACUGGUAUUAUUACUUAAGAGAACAGAACAGAUAGAGCUAAUUGAACUUACAAAUCGAAACUCCCUUCUUCAAUUUAUGUACUUAGAGUCGAGGCCCUUAUAGUCAGUUGUGGAAGUCAAACAAAUCAUUGAACCCUGCUGGGCUUGUGGAAAGAAGUGACUAGGGGUCGGGUGCUAGUGUAUAGGGAAGGAAAGAAAGAAAGUGAAGUUCGAGUUCAAGCAGAAGCUAGAUCUAUAAAGCAAUCGGGUCUUCAUCAAAUACUGGUUAUUGUGAGCUACAGUAGUUCAUAAGAAUGCAACCACUACCCCUAGUAUAGGAAUGAAAACAAGCCUACCCCAGCUACUUGACUAGAGCGUAAGCACCAAGCCCACCCCGUCAAGUCAGUAAACAAAGUGAGUCAACUAAGUCAGUAAACAAGCUUACCCCACAAAGUCAGUAAUCACCCAGUAAGUAAACAAGCCCUACCUGAACUACUUGUUUAAGGGUCGAGAGAGAGGGCUUGCUCACAUAUUCCUGUUGCAAAUACAGUUCUCAGAUCUUAAGCGUGAAGUAGAGAAUUGUAGCCAGAGUUCAAUGAAACAAAAAAGGCUGUAGAAUGGAAUUAAUUGACAGAGUUAGAUUGAUUAGAUGAGAGCCAUAGUUUAUGAGAUGAGCCAGAGGAUAGGUCAGCAAGGGAAGCAGUUAGAAUAGAAGUAGGUGUUACCAAAGUGAGAAUUGGACUAGUAAGUAGAAGCCUUAAAGCACCGAGUAGCAGAGUAGCUAAGAGUACAAGAGGUAUACAAUAGUUAGUAAAGAGCCAGAGGUACAGUAAAGAAGUUAGUGCUUCAGAAGCGGGAAGUUUAGUUCCAUUGUCUAGGAAAAGUAGUACAACAUUGUCUAGGUUCGUAGCUAGGGUUGAUCCAGAAGGAGCACGUACUGGUAGUCCUGUUCUUGUUCUAGUUUCAUCCCUGGUGAAAGCCUAUGUUCCAGUUGUUGUUAGAGUUUCAUCCCAAAUAAGUAUACGAGUAGUCCGGAGUGAAUCUAAUUAAUAGCCAAAGUUCGCUUAUUUGUUUUCUCCCUAGUUGAAUCCCGAAUUGCAUCCGUUCACCUAUAUAAGGUAGAAGAGUCAGAGCAGAGGUAUAGGAGCCGAGCUGGGAGUGAUAGUGAAAAGCCAGUAGUUUAUGAGUUGAAUACCGAAUGUCAUCCAAGGCCUAUCCUAUCCCGUUGCAAGCAAGGUAAGAAAAAGAAUCAUGAGCUAUGUAUUAUAAGAUAUAAGUAAAGUAACCAACCCCGAACACAGGACUUGGUAAGCUAUCACUGGAAACACCGGAGUCAGAAUGUCCCUAAG